rnacentral:rRNA from 1 species
ACCAGACUCCUACGGGAGGCAGCAGUGGGGAAUAUUGCACAAUGGGGGAAACCCUGAUGCAGCAACGCCGCGUGAGUGAAGAAGUAUUUCGGUAUGUAAAGCUCUAUCAGCAGGGAAGAAGAAAGACGGUACCUGACUAAGAAGCCCCGGCUAACUACGUGCCAGCAGCCGCGGUAAUACGUAGGGGGCAAGCGUUAUCCGGAUUUACUGGGUGUAAAGGGGGCGCAGACGGCGAUGCAAGCCAGGAGUGAAAGCCCGGGGCCCAACCCCGGGACUGCUCUUGGAACUGCGUGGCUGGAGUGCAGGAGGGGCGGGCGGAAUUCCUGGUGUAGCGGUGAAAUGCGUAGAUAUCAGGAGGAACACCGGUGGCGAAGGCGGCCUACUGGACUGUAACUGACGUUGAGGCUCGAAAGCGUGGGGAGCAAACAGGAUUAGAUACCCGAGUA